AAAAGAUUAGUUAAAUUAUAACCUUAGUAUGUCAAACUAAAAUUAUUGAAUUUUUCAAUAUCUUUUA
rnacentral:tRNA from 1 species